rnacentral:rRNA from 1 species
UACGUAGGGUGCAAGCGUUGUCCGGAAUUAUUGGGCGUAAAGAGCUCGUAGGCGGUUUGUCGCGUCUGCUGUGAAAACCCGAGGCUCAACCUCGGGCCUGCAGUGGGUACGGGUAGACUAGAGUGCGGUAGGGGAGAAUGGAAUUCCUGGUGUAGCGGUGAAAUGCGCAGAUAUCAGGAGGAACACCGGUGGCGAAGGCGGGUCUCUGGGCAACAACUGACGCUGAGGAGCGAAAGCGUGGGGAGCGAACAGG